UGGGGAAUAUUGCACAAUGGGCGCAAGCCUGAUGCAGCCAUGCCGCGUGUGUGAAGAAGGCCUUCGGGUUGUAAAGCACUUUCAGCGAGGAGGAAGGUGGUGAACUUAAUACGUUCAUCAAUUGACGUUACUCGCAGAAGAAGCACCGGCUAACUCCGUGCCAGCAGCCGCGGUAAUACGGAGGGUGCAAGCGUUAAUCGGAAUUACUGGGCGUAAAGCGCACGCAGGCGGUUUGUUAAGUCAGAUGUGAAAUCCCCGGGCUCAACCUGGGAACUGCAUUUGAAACUGGCAAGCUAGAGUCUCGUAGAGGGGGGUAGAAUUCCAGGUGUAGCGGUGAAAUGCGUAGAGAUCUGGAGGAAUACCGGUGGCGAAGGCGGCCCCCUGGACGAAGACUGACGCUCAGGUGCGAAAGCGUGGGGGGCCAAACAGGAUUAGAUACCCUGGUAGUCCACGCUGUAAACGAUGUCGAUUUGGAGGUUGUGCCCUUGAGGCGUGGCUUCCGGAGCUAACGCGUUAAAUCGACCGCCUGGGGAGUACGGCCGCAAGGUUAAAACUCAAAGGAAUUGAC
rnacentral:rRNA from 1 species